rnacentral:ribozyme from 1 species
UUUUUUUUUUUUUUUUUUUUUUUUUUUUUUUUUUUCCU